CGAGCCCCUACAGCUCUACGGGAGGCCUCCCGGAACUAAAGCGGAGGAGGGGGCCAGCCUCAACCCACAGCCAGCUGACCCUCAGUUCCUCAAAGACAGACCCAGGGUGCAUGCCCAUCUCCAGCCCAGGGCAGCUCCCCUGUAAGCUGGGUGAGCUACUGAAGCCAAGGCGGGAGGCAGCUGACAACACCACCCACGGCCCAUGCGGAGGUGGUAGAAAGGCUGGACUCAGCAGGAACACCAAAUCCCGGACCAGGCAGAAACCACCCAAGACUGAGGAGCUCGUGCCAGAGCGGUGGCCACAGAGGACCGAAGCAGAGGGUGCUGUUUCAACGCCACCACCAGGAGAGAGGCAGAGGGGCUGUGCCAUGCUAGAGUCCUCAGGGAGGGAGUGACCUCGACCCUGGCUGUGCUGCAAGCUGACUCCAGCCUUGGGGUCAGCAGCAGCCGGUGAACAGCAGCAGGAGGAGCCGCUAGAGCAGCUGCUCGUGGGCAGAGCUGCCCUUGGACAACUCCUGCCACCACCCCCUCCCCAGAGGAGCCCAAGGCAGGGGAGGCUCAGCAUGGAAUGAAACAGGGGAGUGAGGGACACAAGGAGGUGGGAAGUGGGAGGGUCCCAGCCCCACCAAGUACGCAGAGACCCCCUCGUCGUCCUGGACACCACAGGGGCACCUGCAGGCUGGGAGACCAGGUCCUCUGUGCAUGGGCCCGGGAGGCAGACCUGCCCCAAGGGUGAUGCAGAGGCCACAGGUGCUGCACGCUCCAGCGCCCACUCUAGACAUCAGCCUCCAGGUUGACUAAGGGUCAGGUCAUGUCUGAAACCAUGCUUGGCUGGACCAGGACCCAUGGCAAGAGCACCUGGGCACCAGUGUUUAGCCCUGGUCUGCAGGAAGGAGGACAGCAGACUUUAGGACCCCACAGCACGGCAGUGCUGACGAUUUCACCCACUUGGCCUCCUUGAG
rnacentral:lncRNA from 1 species